CUAGACAUUUCUUCAUAUUUUCUCAGCCAAAACGCCAUAGAAGGUCUGGAGAAAGCUGGUUUUUCAUAUUUUUACAUCAUAUCAAGAAAACGAACUGAAUCGUAGAAAGGAGAAAAUUCAAGAAUAGUCCCUGAAUUUCUACGACUUUUGCAAAUUAGUCCAGAUUGACUUGAAGUGAAGUGGGUAGAUCGGAUCAACACAAUAGGGCACACUAUUCAGAUCAAUUCC